AGCGAACGCUGGCGGCGUGCUUAACACAUGCAAGUCGAACGGAUCCGGGGGGCAACCCUCGGGUUAGUGGCGAACGGGUGAGUAACACGUGGGUAAUCUCCCCCCGAGUGAGGGAUAAUCUUGCGAAAGCGGGUCUAAUACCGCAUGACGCUUCGGGACGUAAGUCUUCGAAGUUAAAGCCGUAAGGCGCUUGGGGAUGAGCCUGCGUCCUAUUAGCUAGUUGGUAGGGUAAUGGCCUACCAAGGCGAUGAUGGGUAGCCGGCCUGAGAGGGGGAGCUGCCACACUGGAACUGAGACACGGUCCAGACUCCUACGGGAGGCAGCAGUGAGGAAUUUUGCGCAAUGGGCGAAAGCCUGACGCAGCGACGCCGCGUGGAGGAAGACGGCCUUCGGGUUGUAAACUCCUGUCAGAGGUGAAGAAUGCCCGCAAGGGCUUGACGGUAACCUCAGAGGAAGCCCCGGCUAACUACGUGCCAGCCGCCGCCGUAAUAC
rnacentral:rRNA from 1 species